CAGAACGAACCUUGGCGGCGUGCCUAACACAUGCAAGUCGAGCGUGAAAGUCCCUUCGGGGGCGAGUAAAGCGGCAGACGGGUGAGUAAUACAUAGGUAAUCUACCUUCGAGAUUGGGAUAACACUGCGAAAGCGGUGCUAAUACCGGAUAAGACCACGUCACCCAGGUGAUGCGGUAAAAGAUGGCUUUGUUUUCGGAUGAGGCUAUCACUUGAGGAUGAGUCCAUGGCCUAUCAGCUUGUUGGUGAGGUAAAGGCUCACCAAGGCGAUGACGGGUAGCUGGUCCGAGAGGACGACCAGCCACACUGGGACUGAGACACGGCCCAGACUCCUACGGGAGGCAGCAGUGGGGAAUAUUGGGCAAUGGGCGAAAGCCUGACCCAGCGACGCCGUGUGGGCGAUGAAGGCCUUCGGGUUGUAAAGCCCUGUUGGGUGGAAAGAAGGGCUCUAGGACGAAUAAUCCCUGAGUCUUGACGGUACCACCAGAGGAAGCACCGGCUAACUCCGUGCCAGCAGCCGCGGUAAUACGGAGGGUGCAAGCGUUGUUCGGAAUUACUGGGCGUAAAGGGCGCGUAGGUGGUUGUGUAAGUCAGAUGUGAAAUCCCGAGGCUCAACCUCGGAACUGCAUCUGGUACUGCAUGACUAGAGUGCAGCAGAGGGAAACGGAAUUCCCAGUGUAGAGGUGAAAUUCGUAGAUAUUGGGAGGAACACCGGUGGCGAAGGCGGUUUCCUGGGCUGACACUGACACUGAGGCGCGAAAGCGUGGGUAGCAAACAGGAUUAGAUACCCUGGUAGUCCACGCUGUAAA
rnacentral:rRNA from 1 species